GACGAACGCUGGCGGCGUGCUUAACACAUGCAAGUCGAGCGAUGAAAUCCCUUCGGGGAUGGAUUAGCGGCGGACGGGUGAGUAACACGUGGGCAACCUGCCUUAUAGAGAGGAAUAGCCAUCCGAAAGGAUGAUUAAUACCUCAUAAUAUUGUAGCUUCGCAUGAAGCAACAAUCAAAGGAGCAAUCCACUAUAAGAUGGGCCCGCGGCGCAUUAGCUAGUUGGUGAGGUAACGGCUCACUAAGGCGACGAUGCGUAGCCGACCUGAGAGGGUGAUCGGCCACAUUGGGACUGAGACACGGCCCAGACUCCUACGGGAGGCAGCAGUGGGGAAUAUUGCACAAUGGGGGAAACCCUGAUGCAGCAACGCCGCGUGAGUGAUGACGGCCUUCGGGUUGUAAAGCUCUGUCUUCAGGGACGAUAAUGACGGUACCUGAGGAGGAAGCCACGGCUAACUACGUGCCAGCAGCCGCGGUAACAC
rnacentral:rRNA from 1 species